GCUAAACGCGAAGAACCUUACCUACCCUUGACAUGCCAGGAACUUGCCAGAGAUGGCUCGGUGCUCGAAAGAGAACCUGGACACAGGUGCUGCAUGGCCGUCGUCAGCUCGUGUCGUGAGAUGUUGGGUUAAGUCCCGCAACGAGCGCAACCCUUGUCAUUAGUUGCUACGUAAGGGCACUCUAAUGAGACUGCCGGUGACAAACCGGAGGAAGGUGGGGAUGACGUCAGGUCAUCAUGGCCCUUAUGGGUAGGGCUACACACGUCAUACAAUGGCCGGUACAGAGGGUUGCCAACCCGCGAGGGGGAGCCAAUCCCAGAAAACCGGUCGUAGUCCGGAUCGCAGUCUGCAACUCGACUGCGUGAAGUCGGAAUCGCUAGUAAUCGCGGAUCAGCUUGCCGCGGUGAAUACGUUCCCGGGUCUUGUACACACCG
rnacentral:rRNA from 1 species